UUUCGUUGUUCGUUUUGUUCUUAUUCGCUGACAUUUGUUUUCUAAUUGCUUGAAAUUUGGUAAUUUCCUUAGUGUUUUCCUGGCCGACCUGUGCUGGUAUUGUAAUUAAGAGCUAAUACACCAUUCUCUGGUGAACUGCAGCUGCGGCCGAAUUUGAUUGUGUGCAUCAUCCUGCAGAUAUUUUGAAAUUUUGUGGACGCUUCUGUUGUGCUGCGUUCCUGCUCCGCCCGUGUUUUAUAGUGUUGCGUCCCUGUUGCGCCUUUGCAAUAGUGUGUGCGUUGUGCUUUAGACACGUUGAAAUUGUUUAUAUGCUUCUGCUGUGCUGCGUUCCUGCUUCACCCGUGUAUUAAAUUGCAGCGUUCCUGUUAACAUAAGCAUCGUCGUUUAAGUACAAAACCGCGUAACUGACAUUUGAUGCUAAAAAUUGGAUUUGCUCACACAAGUUCUUGGCUCAAUCCUUAUCCAUUCUUCCUGAUACAUAUUAGCCA